AUCAAUAACGGAGGAAAGAACCAACCGGGAUUGCCUUAGUAGCGGCGAGUGAAGCGGCAAGAGCUCAAAUUUGAAAUCUAGUACCUUUGGUGCUCGAGUUGUAAUUUGUAGAGUAGUGCCUUGGGGCCGUUCCUUGCCUAUGUUCCUUGGAACAGGACGUCAUGGAGGGUGAGAACCCCGUGUGGCGAGGGGUGCGGUUCUGUGUAAGGCCUGCUCGAAGAGUCGAGUUGUUUGGGAAUGCAGCUCUAAGUGGGUGGUAAAUUCCAUCUAAAGCUAAAUACAGGCGAGAGACCGAUAGCGAACAAGUACAGUGAUGGAAAGAUGAAAAGAACUUUGAAAAGAGAGUGAAAAAGUACGUGAAAUUGUUGAAAGGGAAGGGCAUUUGAUCAGACAUGGUGUUUUGCGCCCCCUGCUCCUUGUGGGUGGGGGAAUCUCGCAGCUCACUGGGCCAGCAUCAGUUUUGGCGGCUGGAUAAAUCCGGAGGAAUGUGGCUUCUCUCGGGAAGUGUUAUAGCCUGCGGGAAUACGGCCAGCCGGGACUGAGGACGCAUGACGCAAGUGCAAGGAUCUGCAUAGUGAUA
rnacentral:rRNA from 1 species